GAUGAACGCUGGCGGCGUGCCUAAUACAUGCAAGUCGAGCGAACAGAUGAGGAGCUUGCUCCUCUGACGUUAGCGGCGGACGGGUGAGUAACACGUGGAUAACCUACCUAUAAGACUGGGAUAACUUCGGGAAACCGGAGCUAAUACCGGAUAAUAUAUUGAACCGCAUGGUUCAAUAGUGAAAGACGGUUUUGCUGUCACUUAUAGAUGGAUCCGCGCCGCAUUAGCUAGUUGGUAAGGUAACGGCUUACCAAGGCAACGAUGCGUAGCCGACCUGAGAGGGUGAUCGGCCACACUGGAACUGAGACACGGUCCAGACUCCUACGGGAGGCAGCAGUAGGGAAUCUUCCGCAAUGGGCGAAAGCCUGACGGAGCAACGCCGCGUGAGUGAUGAAGGUCUUCGGAUCGUAAAACUCUGUUAUUAGGGAAGAACAAAUGUGUAAGUAACUAUGCACGUCUUGAAGGUACCUAAUCAGAAAGCCACGGCUAACUACGUG
rnacentral:rRNA from 1 species